GAAUUGACGGGGCCCGCACAAGCGGAGGAACAUGUGGUUUAAUUCGAUGAUACGCGAGGAACCUUACCUGGGCUUAAAUGUAGAGUGCAUUUUUUAGAGAUAGAAAUUCCCUUCGGGGCUUUCUGCAAGGUGCUGCAUGGUUGUCGUCAGCUCGUGCCGUGAGGUGUCGGGUUAAGUCCCAUAACGAGCGCAACCCUUAUCGUUAGUUGCCAGCUGGUAAAGCAGGGGACUCUAGCGAAACUGCCACCGUAAGGUGAGAGGAAGGUGGGAUGACGUCAAAUCAGCACGGCCCUUAUGUCCAGGGCUACACACGUGUUACAAUGGCCGGCACAGAGGGCAGCUACCUGGUGACAGGAUGCUAAUCUCGAAAACCGGUCUCAGUUCGGAUCGAAGUCUGCAACUCGACUUCGUGAAGCUGGAUUCGCUAGUAAUCGCGCAUCAGCCAUGGCGCGGUGAAUACGUUCCCGGGCCUU
rnacentral:rRNA from 1 species